CCUGAGUUAAUGGGACUGAUUCAUGGGACGUCUGGCAGGAAGACAUCCCCCCCCCAGCUCACUCAGGGCCAUCCUCCAGACCCUGAUAAGCCCCUACUUGUGCUUUUCAGCCAUUGUGUCCUACAGAGAGCAUUCCAAGAAACCGGACAGCCCAAGCCUAACCAGAGGUGUUUCAAAUACAAAUGCUCCAUCAAUUUUGACAAACUUUUAAAAAUAAUGAGGACCUAAAGACCCUACCCUUCUCCUGAUUUAGUAGCUCUGUUCCAGGAACCAGGGGGCCAUAAAACCUUCUGGCGUCCCCUUAUCUCCUGGAGCCAUAAAACAAUCUUGUAACUUGUGGUACAUUCCCCUUUGACAUCCCCCAUCCCCUGGUGCUCACAGCCUCUGCCUUUAAAUACUCUUUUUCCCAGCCUCUCGGGGCCGACACCUCUGUCUCCUGCGCGGGAUACGUGUCGGCCCGGAGAUCUCUGUAAUAGGUCUCCGUAAUAAACCUCGCCUUUGCUUAUUACAUCCAAAAUGGUCUCUCUGUGUCUGGGGUCCGCGAUUUCCCAAGACUUGAGUAAGGGUCUCUCUGCGUGGGAUCUUUCAUAUUUAUGGGGGCUCGUCCGGGAUCUGUGCGACUACCCCAGACUCCGAAGACCCCUUGGAGGUGAGUUAGAUGUUUGUCUGAGUGUUUUUGUGUGAGCGGCGCCGCAAUUGUCAGUCUGUGUCUGUCUCUGUUUUGGUUCCGCCGUGUGUGUAUAUAUGUGUGUCUUAGUACUGGUCAGUGUUAAGAGGGCAGAUGGGUAUUCCUGCCCUGUGUUAAGAGGGCAGAUGGGUGUUCCUGCCUUGUGCUAAGAGGGUGGAUGUGUAUUCCUGCCCUGUGCUAGGAGGGUGGAUGUGUAUUCCUGCCCUGUAGGAGAGUGGAUGUGUAUCCCCACUCAGUGCAGCUGCCUUUGUGGUCCGUGAGGACCCCCUGGCUGCGGAAGGGGGGACGCCCCGGGCCCGCAAGGCUGCAGCCCCUGGAAGACGUUCCACGGGCGGAGAACAGUCGGGAGAGCCCGGCUAUGGACAGUCAGGAGGACCUGACU
rnacentral:lncRNA from 1 species